rnacentral:rRNA from 1 species
GAUGAACGCUAGCUACAGGCUUAACACAUGCAAGUCGAGGGGCAGCAUGGUCUUAGCUUGCUAAGGCCGAUGGCGACCGGCGCACGGGUGAGUAACACGUAUCCAACCUGCCGUCUACUCUUGGACAGCCUUCUGAAAGGAAGAUUAAUACAAGAUGGCAUCAUGAGUCCGCAUGUUCACAUGAUUAAAGGUAUUCCGGUAGACGAUGGGGAUGCGUUCCAUUAGAUAGUAGGCGGGGUAACGGCCCACCUAGUCUUCGAUGGAUAGGGGUUCUGAGAGGAAGGUCCCCCACAUUGGAACUGAGACACGGUCCAAACUCCUACGGGAGGCAGCAGUGAGGAAUAUUGGUCAAUGGGCGAGAGCCUGAACCAGCCAAGUAGCGUGAAGGAUGACUGCCCUAUGGGUUGUAAACUUCUUUUAUAAAGGAAUAAAGUCGGGUAUGCAUACCCGUUUGCAUGUACUUUAUGAAUAAGGAUCGGCUAACUCCGUGCCAGCAGCCGCGGUAAUACGGAGGAUCCGAGCGUUAUCCGGAUUUAUUGGGUUUAAAGGGAGCGUAGAUGGAUGUUUAAGUCAGUUGUGAAAGUUUGCGGCUCAACCGUAAAAUUGCAGUUGAUACUGGAUAUCUUGAGUGCAGUUGAGGCAGGCGGAAUUCGUGGUGUAGCGGUGAAAUGCUUAGAUAUCACGAAGAACUCCGAUUGCGAAGGCAGCCUGCUAAGCUGCAACUGACAUUGAGGCUCGAAAGUGUGGGUAUCAAACAGGAUUAGAUACCCUGGUAGUCCACACGGUAAACGAUGAAUACUCGCUGUUUGCGAUAUACAGCAAGCGGCCAAGCGAAAGCGUUAAGUAUUCCACCUGGGGAGUACGCCGGCAACGGUGAAACUCAAAGGAAUUGACGGGGGCCCGCACAAGCGGAGGAACAUGUGGUUUAAUUCGAUGAUACGCGAGGAACCUUACCCGGGCUUAAAUUGCAGAUGAAUUACGGUGAAAGCCGUAAGCCGCAAGGCAUCUGUGAAGGUGCUGCAUGGUUGUCGUCAGCUCGUGUCGUGAGGUGUCGGCUUAAGUGCCAUAACGAGCGCAACCCUUGUUGUCAGUUACUAACAGGUUCCGCUGAGGACUCUGACAAGACUGCCAUCGUAAGAUGUGAGGAAGGUGGGGAUGACGUCAAAUCAGCACGGCCCUUACGUCCGGGGCUACACACGUGUUACAAUGGGGGGUACAGAGGGCCGCUACCACGCGAGUGGAUGCCAAUCCCAAAAACCUCUCUCAGUUCGGACUGGAGUCUGCAACCCGACUCCACGAAGCUGGAUUCGCUAGUAAUCGCGCAUCAGCCACGGCGCGGUGAAUACGUUCCCGGGCCU